rnacentral:tRNA from 1 species
GUAGUAUAGCUCAGGUAGAGCACAUGCUUAGCAUGCAGGAGGUCCUAGGUUCAAUCCCCAGUACCUGCA